CCCUUAGAUGUUCUGGGCCGCACGCGUGCUACACUGAGUGGAUCAGCGGGUCAGGUUGCGCGAAAGCGUUUCCUAAUCUUGAAAUCCGCUCGUGAUGGGGAUUGACGGUUGCAAUUUUCUGUCAUGAACGAGGAAUACCUUGUAAGCGCGAGUCAUCAUCCCGCGCUGAAUACGUCCCUGCCCUUUGUACACACCGCCCGUCGCUCCUACCGAUUGAGUGGUCCGGUGAGGCUCUGGGACCUGGACGGAAAGAGCGUUUCGCUUGUUCUGUUUGGGAAACUUGGUCGAACCUUAUCAUUUAGAGGAAGGAGAAGUCGUAACA
rnacentral:rRNA from 1 species